rnacentral:lncRNA from 1 species
AGGAUUGGAUGGCUUGGCGCACAGUGCUCCUGCUGCUGGAGGCCGCCCUGGCCCCGACUCAGACCUGUGCGGGCUCACACUCGCUGCGGUAUUUCCACACCGCCAUGUCCCGGCCCGGCCUCGGGGAGCCCCGGUUCAUCGCUGUCGGCUACGUGGACGACACGCAGUUCGUGCGCUUCGACAGCGACGCGGAGAAUCCGAGGAUGGAACCGCGCGCGCCAUGGAUGGAGCAGGAGGGGCCGGAGUAUUGGGAGCGGGAGACACAGGUCGCCAAGAACACGGAGCAGAUUUCUCGAGUGAACCUGAGGACCCUGCGCGGCUAUUACAACCAGAGCGAGGGCGGUGGGUGACCCAGGGUCGGAUGUCACAACCCCUCCAUGUCCGGACAAGGAGACCUGAGAUGGAAAGUUCCCGGGCCCCAAGUCCGAGGUUCGGGAGCAGAACCACAACCCAGCACUGGUCCCUUUCAGUUUGUGGGGUCCGACGGGCGCCUCCUCCGUGGGUACUGGCAGUAUGCCUACGAUGGCCAGGAUUACAUCGCCCUGAACGAAGACCUGAAAACGUGGACGACAGCAGACAUAGCAGCUCAGAUUACUGGACAAAAACUGGAACAGAUCCCCAAAGGCACAUGUGACCCAUCACCCGGGAUCUGAAGAUGAUGUCACCCUGAGGUGUUGGGCCCUGGGCUUCUACCCUGCUGACAUCACCCUGACCUGGCAGUUGAAUGGGGAGGAGCUGACCCAGGACAUGGAGCUUGUGGAGACCAGGCCUGCAGGGGAUGGAAUCUUCCAGAAGUGGGCAGCUGUGGUGGUGCCUCUUGGGAAGGAGCAGAAUUACACAUGCCAUGUGCACCAUGAGGGGCUGCCUGAGCCCCUCACCCUGAGAUGGGAGCCUCCUCUAUCCACCGACUCCAACAUGGUGACCAUUGCUGUUCUGGUUGUCCUUGGAACUGUGAUAGUCAUUGUUGCUGUGGUGGCUUUUGUGAUGAAGAGGAGGAGAAACACAGCGUGAAGCCAGCUGCCUGGAGUGGACUAAGUGACAGACAAUGUCUUCACACAUCUCCUGUGACAUCCAGAGCCCUCAGUUUUCUUUAGUCAAGUAUCUGAUGUUCCCUGUGAGCCUAUGGGCUCAAAGUGAAGAACUGUGCAGCCCAGCCUGCCCUGCACACAGAACCCUGUCCCUGCACUGCCCUGGGUUCCCUUCCACAGCCAACCUUGCUGCUCCAGCCAAACACUGGGCGACAUCUGCAUCCUGCCAGCUCCAUGCUGCCCUGAGCUGCAGCUCCUCACUUCCACACUGAGAGUAAGAAUCUGAAUGGGACCUUGAUUCUUAACAUCCUGACCGAGGGUUGAUUUCUUGUUAAUUUCAUGGAUUGAGAAUACUUAGAGUUUUGGUUUGUUUUGAUUUUUUUUCAAGAAAUAAAUGGCAGAUGGAGAACCUUCCAGAA